ensembl:lncRNA
GUAGGGGGGUGUACCCUCCAGGGCUGAACUGUUCUAGAAGCCACCUCUAACCUUCUCAAAGGAGCCUACGGGAGCCGGAAAGAUGGACAUGAAAAAGCACCGCCUGGGUAAAGCGUGUGCGCUGCAGGUGGGACGGCGAGGGCUGCUGGGCCCGCCGCGUUUCUCUCCUGUACGUCGGAGCCUUUUUGCACCUAGAACACUAGAAGCACUUCAGCACUACACUUGGGGCUCGUGUAAAACCAGCAGCUAAAAGCAUACAACUGUGAGAAAUGUGGCACGAAAUAAACCAUGAAAAGGACACUUGUUUACAGCAGGAGAGCUGAAGCAAGAAGUAAAACAGAACCCAGGGGAGUUUGCCGUGGUGACAUAUUUUUUGCUUGAGAUUGUAAAGACCCCACUGCAGCUGGUGUCUGUCCACAGCCUGGCAUUGAAUUGUCUAAUUUCCUGAGACCGAAGCAUUACAGAUUACAUCUGUGAUAAAGAGAAGGCCCUCAAAAACACGUCUGGGGCUUCCUUUGUG